CCUACGGGGGGCAGCAGUGAGGAAUAUUGGUCAAUGGGCGCGAGCCUGAACCAGCCAAGUCGCGUGAGGGAAGACGGUCCUGUGGAUUGUAAACCUCUUUUGUCGGGGAACAAAAGACGCCACGCGUGGCCUUCCGAGAGUACCCGAAGAAAAAGCAUCGGCUAACUCCGUGCCAGCAGCCGCGGUAAUACGGAGGAUGCGAGCGUUAUCCGGAAUGAUUGGGCUUAAAGGGUGCGUAGGCGGCCUGCUAAGUCAGGAGUGAAAUUGACCGGCUCAACCG
rnacentral:rRNA from 1 species